GGAAGGAGGAUGCAAAAGCCGAAGCAGCUCUCUCUCUCUCUCUCUCUUUCUUUCUCGAAGGUUCCUCUCUUCUUCUUCCUCUGAUCUGAAACCAAUCACAGUCAGAUUCUCUCUUCCAAUACCCACAUCAAAUUUGUCUUUGCUCCAUCUUCUCGAGCUCUCUCUCGCAGGAUCGGAGCUGUUGGGAUUUUGAAAAAAUUGGGAGUAAUUUUUCUUUUGGGUUUCAUCUCUCUGGUAUUUAAACUGAAGCCAAAACCCCAAAAGAUUUGAACUUUCAGGAAAUUUUAGCGUUAUGGUCGUAUCAACCUUGAGACUGUGCGUGGCAUCUGUGUGCCCAUCAAAGGGUUUAUAAACAACCAAAGGAUUAUUGAAAACGAGCUUCCGUCUGAGUAUACGAACAUAAAAAGCUUUCCAAACUUUCAAAGAAAGCAGCAAGAUCUUGAAAAAAAUUGCAAGAGACAAACUGUGCGGAGUUUGAGAAUCACCGUGAGCACAGUCAUUCAGCUGCUUGGGCUCCUUUCCUCCUCCAACAAAAUAUCUAGAACUUGAGGGAAUUCUCUUUUAUAACCUCUUGAAGUGUUGUUUUUGGCAUUGAGGACAUUCUGUGCUACAAGAGAUGAUAAAGAAUGGAUUGAGGCUUUAUCAAGUGCUGUAAAUGUAGCGUUAUCUCCUCAGUUGAGACAAUUAUUUGUUACAAUCAUUUUAUAUUGUGAUGUGCUGUAUAAUAACGUUGGUACCAACGUGAGGAUUCAAAGGAAGAAAAGCGUUUGUGAGACAGGGAUCAAAAAGCAUGGAAGGCUCGAGAACACCAACGUGUCGACUUCGCUUGGAAUUUGGUUGUGACCGAUUUAAUCUGGCGUUUCCAGAUUCAGCAAAUAGCCCCUUUCAGAUUUUUGGAUUUUUUAUUCUGAUUCUUGGAACUCUCUGUACUAAAGCUUUCAAAACUAAUACUACAAAUUCUGCUUCCACAUCAACUUAUCCACAAUUUGCAAAUACCAGGAUCGUUAUUUAUAUGAUUUCAAAAAUCUUGGUUAUUCUGCAUUUUGCCCUGUUUGUUCUUCGCUUUCAAGGUGCUUUGUCCUCAAGGUUUUGACAGCCAAUCAUCUGCUCUGUUUCUCCUGUGGACACAUCUGUAUAACUACUUACGGUAUCUCAAAAUACUCAAAAAUUUCUACUUUUUUUCAUUAAUGUUUUAUGUUUAAGUUCUACCUUCACUAAUGUUUCUCUUCAGGGAAAUUGCCUAUUACCAAUGUAUGCACGCACUAUCUUCAUUUCAUCUGCUUUGAACGCAUGUCCACUUACCUUUUCCCCCACUAAUGAGUUAACCUGGACAUCCAAAGCAUUGGUGAACAUCCUGUGGAGACAAUAUAUGGUUACUUAAAAUAUCUACAUUUAUACUUUUGAAUGUCCAUCUUAAACCCUUUUGUGAUUAACCAAGUAAUUUGACAUGCAUUCAUAGCACAACGAAUGACGAAAGUCUUUGUGUAUAAAUUUGUAACAGUCAAUUCCUCUGAAGAGGAAAGAUGGAAAUGAUGAUUGUUUAUCUACACCAAUUAAGUUCUAUCUGAUCCAUCUUUCAACAUUCUUUAUCCCCAUUAUUACAACAAAAAUCACCAUAGUACUACAUUGCAUAUCUUCUUCCACUUUACUCCCAUUUUUUUUUAUCCAUUUUGAA